rnacentral:rRNA from 1 species
UACGAAGGGUGCAAGCGUUACUCGGAAUUACUGGGCGUAAAGCGUGCGUAGGUGGUUUGUUAAGUCUGUUGUGAAAGCCCCGGGCUCAACCUGGGAAUGGCAAUGGAUACUGGCAAGUUAGAGUGCGGUAGAGGGUAGUGGAAUUCCCGGUGUAGCGGUGAAAUGCGUAGAGAUCGGGAGGAACACCAGUGGCGAAGGCGGCUACCUGGACCAGCACUGACACUGAGGCACGAAAGCGUGGGGAGCAAACAGG